CCGUCACAUAUUAGCUAGGUAACUGGGCGGCAGGUAGCCUAGCGGUUAAGAACGUUGGGUAACCGAAAGGUCGCUAGUUCGAAUUCCCAAGCCGACUAUGUGCCUAAUCUUUCCUGAAGCAAGUCACUUAACCCCAGUUGCUCAUGUAGUCGCUCUGGAUAAGACCGUCUGCAAAAAAAAAAUACUUAUGUGAAACUAGAAACAAAAUAGUUUGCCAGUUUGUCGUCCUAAAAACCGGAAAUUAGGUACUUCUGGUUGUCAUUCAUAUGGGGAAAUAAUACGGUUUUGGGAUGAACGCCGAAAAUAAGGUCUGAGGUUUAAGUUAACACAGGUUUAGGAGAACGUAUACGUUUUGUUCUAUGAGAAGUCAGUUAACAUAAUCGUGAAUUAUUAAGCCAUAUGUGCUUUAUGUACUUUUUUAUUACAUAAAUGCUUAACAAUUCAAAAUGACGUUAGCUGAUUGAUGAUCUCUUAGAUCAAAACGUAUACGAUAUUGUCCAUGGAAAGCUUUGUCCAACGAACCAUGACGGAGUUAGUGCCUACAAAAAGACUCCGUUAGUAUUGCUCUCUAUAUACCCCAUGUCCCGGACCCAAGACAGGAAAUUCGAGACAUAUACAGGAUGCUACCCUCGACAGCAUAACCUUCACUCCAGAUCAAAAAUCCAAACCUACAACCUAAUUUUGGACUAAAGGACCUGGAAGGAUUAAUGCUACUAUCCAACCUGGAACUGAGACAGACCAGAUUAAACUUCAAUUAGCACUGAUGUGUGAGGUGUCAAAGCCUUUGAGCCCAACAAAUGGCAGGCUACCCCACCCAAAUCCAGAGGCCUUGAAGCCCCCUCCUGCUGUUCAGAGACCAUCUACUGGCAUUUUCUACAAUAGAUCUGCCUCCAGAAAAAAGCUUCUUCCAAGUGGGUGUGACACCUACUUCCAUUGCCUGCUGCACUGCUGCUUGGAUUCCACCUGGCGAUCUGUUUACCGUCUGUCCUGGUUGUCUCCCCCUGGUACAGGUACCACCCCCCCGAGCUUUCGCUCGCCUCCAGCUCACAGGCACUGUUGGGGAAAGUGACUCUGACCUUAUAAUGGCUAGUCCCAAGUUGUGUGCAUUUUUGCUAUUUGUCUCAUGAUUCCUGCAUGCUUUGUUCACUGAACUUUCUUGUUUACCCAACCGUGGGACAGACUGUUUGGGACUUGGGACUCUGACUCUCUAUUGGUUACACGGACUCUUGGCCUCCCAUCCUAUUCUAACCACCUCUCGCCGGCUUUGUAUUCAUGUUACCGGAUGAAAUUGCUGUGUAAAAUGAUCUUGUUGCCAUCUGAUGCACAUUCAAAUGUAAUAAAUCAACACUGCAGAGCUCUCCCUGUCCUCUACCGUGCCUUGAUUUUAUUACUGUUGAUGAUAUCUGGAAAUGUGCAUGUACACCCUAUCUACUGUUGAUAGCCCCAAUUCGUGUGCUCUGAUAUCUGUUUCACUGAUUUCUACUCUUGUAAAAGCCUGGUUAUUCUGCACAUUAACACUAGAA
ensembl:lncRNA